rnacentral:lncRNA from 1 species
GGGUUCCUUCCCAGUGCUUAGUUUCUCCAUGAGAUAUUGAGCUGGUGUGCAUGGCCCAAGAAGCUGAGAGUGGCAGGAGUCUCUGCUUAGUCCCACUCUGCCUCCUGUGUCCGUCUUGUGUGAGUGUAUCUUUGCACACAAGAGUCCAUACAAAUCAAUGUGACCCAGCUGUGGGGGGCACGGACAGAACUCAUCAGUGCCUGUGUCCUGAUUUGAGCCUGGAGUGGUUUGUAGGGCCAAGAAGGAGAGCCCUGGCCACACCACCGAGCUGUCUUGUGGCCAGUGUUGGCUGUGUGCAGUAGCAGCAUGAGGAGCUCUGUUGAGUGCAGGGGAUGCCCAAGGCAUCAGCUGUGUGUGAGCUGGUGCCCUGCAUUGGUGUCUCUGUCCUGUCUGUUUCUAAUUGUCUGUCUUGUUGUCGCCUCCCAGGCUGUGACUGCGUCUGGUCGGACUGGAUUGACAUGACUUACCCAAAUGCUUCUGACAAGGACAGUGGUGACUACGAAACCUUUGAGAACAUUUGGAAGAACUUCCCCUCCUGGGAGUGUGCAAAAGUUGAAAAUGUUUCUUGCCGAUCAGAGAAAUUCCCUAACAUUCCCAUUGCAGAUUUAGGGCAGAAAGUGGAAUGUAGUGUUGACGUAGGUCUCGUCUGUAACAAUAAAGACCAGCAGAUAGGAGGUAUAAUUCCAAUGCCAGUCUGCCUCAACUAUGAGAUCAGUGUCUGCUGCACCCCCAACCGCCCAGAGUGUCUUCCAACUCCAAGCACCCCGAGCACCCCAAGCACCACACCUUCCACAGCUUCACCCACAACGACCAGUGUGUCCACUCCAAGAUCAACAACCACUCCAACGCCAACACCAGAGACUCCCAGCAGUACCACCCCUACCACCACCACCACCACUACGACCACGAUGUCCCCCAGCACCCCCACCACCAGUGGCAGCACCUCACAGACAACACCAACUGUUCCUGUCUCAACUACACCCAUUUCAACUACUUCAAGCACAGCCACGCCCACACCAACAUACACCACCACCACACCAACUCCAGUCACGCCGAGCAAAGCAUCCACUACACCAGAAUUGCCAACCACAUCACCGGAGACUCACAGUACCACCACGACCACCACCAGCUCUCCGACCACAACCACAACUGGUACUGGAUCACCAACACCCACCUCAACUACUUCAAGCACAUCCUCUCCCACACCAACAUACACCAACACCCUGCCAACUCCAGUCACACCUCCAUCCACACCAAGCACACCAAAAUCAACAACCACUCCCCCAACCCCAGAGACUACCACCACCACCACCACCAGUCCUCCGAGCACAACAACCACUGUUCCUGGAACAACAACAACCAUCUCAACUCCUGGAAGCACACCUCCACCCACACCGAGCACACCACAAUCGACAACGACUCCCUCAACACCAGAGACUACCACCACCACCACCACCAGCCCUCCGAGCACAACAACCACUGUUCCUGUACCAACACCAACACCCACUUUGACUACUUCAAGCACAUCCUCACCAACACCAACAUACACGACCACCCUACCGACUCCAACCCCACCUACGUCCACACCGAGCACACCAAAAUCGACAACGACUCCCUCAACACCAGAGACUACCACCACCACCACCACCAGCCCUCCGAGCACAACAACCACUGUUCCUGGACCAACAACUACUACCUCAACUCCUGGAAGCACACCUCCACCCACACCGAGCACACCAAAGUCGACAACAACUCCCUCAACACCAGAGACUACCACCACCACCACCACCAGCCCUCCGAGCACAACAACCACUGUUCCUGGACCAACAACUACUACCUCAACUCCUGGAAGCACACCUCCACCCACACCGAGCACACCAAAGUCGACAACAACUCCCUCAACACCAGAGACUACCACCACCACCACCACCAGCCCUCCGAGCACAACAACCACUGUUCCUGUACCAACACCAACACCCACUUUGACUACUUCAAGCACAUCCUCACCAACACCAACAUACACGACCACUCUACCAACUCCAGCCCCACCUACGUCCACACCGAGCACACCAAAAUCGACAACAACUCCCUCAACACCAGAGACUACCACCACCACCACCACCAGCCCUCCGAGCACAACAACCACUGUUCCUGUACCAACACCAACACCCACUUUGACUACUUCAAGCACAUCCUCACCAACACCAACAUACACGACCACUCUACCAACUCCAGCCCCACCUACGUCCACACCGAGCACACCAAAAUCGACAACAACUCCCUCAACACCAGAGACUACCACCACCACCACCACCAGCCCUCCGAGCACAACAACCACUGUUCCUGGACCAACACCCAGCUCAACUCCUGAAAAUAUUAUCACCAUAACCCAACCGGUUCCACCCACAGAAGCAAUAAAGGGUACCACAACACCUGAACCAGAGACGUCGACAAAGACAAACACUCCAGUUACUCCUUCAACUACCCCUCUGCCAACAACAAGAACAACAGAAGUAAGUACACCUACUGCAAGCACCACUAGUCAACAGUCAACAUCACCAGUGUCAACAAGCCCAGUGACAGCUACCACCUCUGAAGUCACUGAAACAACACCAACCACCAAGACCACCACUUCAGGUCCCACACCCUCAAGAUCCACCAGCACCACACCAGUAACAGAAACACCUUAUCAUGAGACCACUACCAUCAGGACCCCAAGCCCCCAAUCUACCACCACUUCCAGCCCUGGCACCACCACAACCUCGGGACCAAGCAGCACUACAGUAACACCACCACCAAUAACAACAACCACCAAGACCACCACUUCAGGCCCCACACCCUCAGUGUCCACUCCCCCCACCACCACAGGAGGAACCGAAAUAAGUACCCCAGGGACAACCUCUGCAACUGUUACUACUCCAACAACAUCACCUGCAUCAACCAGCCCUGUGUCAACCACCACCUCUGGUACUACUCCAACAGAAAGCUUUACCACCACUUCAGGAACCACCUCCGUCAAUGUAACCACCACCUCCACCACAUUCACAACCCUUCCCCCUAGCUCAACUACUACAUCUGGGCCAACUGCAACAUCAACUGCAGUCACCACUACAGGAAGUUCUACGCACAGUGCAACUCCUCCAGUUAAUGGCUCAAGUUCAACUACAAGUCUAACACCAACCACUCCUAAAAAGACUUGUACUAUUUUCCCUAAUGAAUCUUAUGAGCAAGGUGACUCAUGGUGGCUCUGUAACUGCACUAAGGCAAUAUGUAUAGAAGACAACAUUGUCCAGGUGAUUCCAGUAAUCUGCAAUCCACCUCCGAAACCCACAUGUGCCAAUGGACUGUCUCCUGUGCCAGUCAUUGAUGAGGAUGGAUGCUGUUGGCACUGGGAGUGUGAUUGCUACUGCACUGGCUGGGGAGAUCCACAUUACAUGACUUUUGAUGGAUUGUACUACAGCUUUCAAGGAAAUUGUACAUAUGUCCUUGUGGAAGAGAUCAUUAAGAACGUUGACACCUUUGGUGUCUACAUUGAUAACUACCAUUGUGAUACACGGGAUGUAGUGUCCUGUCCUCGAACGCUCAUUGUGAGACACGAGACUCAGGAAAUCAGGCUAAGAACAGCAGAACCAAAUACUCUACAAGUAGAGGUGACAGUAAACAACCAGCUCGUGGCUUUACCUUAUAAAAAGUUUGGCGUGAGCAUCUAUGAGUCAGGCAUAAAUCGUGUUGUGGAAAUUCCUGAGCUGAAAAUGAAUGUGACCUACAAUGGCUUGUCCUUUUCUAUCAGAAUGCCCUACAGCCUGUUUGGCAACAACACCCAGGGACAGUGUGGUACUUGCAAUAACAACACAGCAGAUGACUGCAUGCUGCCAGAUGGAAAAAUUAUAGAUAACUGUGAAAUCAUGGCAGAUCAUUGGCAAGUUAAUGAUCCUUCCAAACCACAGUGCUCUCCAAGCCUAGUUCCUACAGGUUCACCAAGCACAACACCAACACAGCCUUGCAAAGAAUCUUCCAUCUGCGAGCUUCUUUUGGGAAGUGUGUUCAAGCCAUGCCAUUCCUUUGUCCAGCCUGAAAAGUACUAUGCAGCCUGUGUUUUUGAUAGCUGUGUACUUCCCAACCUAGACCUGGAAUGCUCAAGUCUGCAGAUCUAUGCUGCCACCUGUGCUGAUCAAGGCGUGUGCAUUGACUGGAGAAAACACACCAAUGGUGUCUGCUCUCAUGAAUGUCCUCCUGGUAAAGAAUACAGAGCAUGUGGUCCUAUUAAAGAGAUGACCUGCAAAUCAAGAGGACAGAAUGACACAUCAACUAAACAAGUGGAAGGCUGUUUCUGUCCUAAUGGAACCAUGCUGUAUGACUCUGGUGUGGAUGUCUGCGUGAAAACUUGUGGCUGUGUUGGAGUGGAUAUGAUACCAAGAGAGUUUGGAGAAAAGUUUACAGUGGACUGUCAGGACUGCAUUUGCCUGGAAGGUGAACAUGGCAUUGUAUGUCAACCUCAUGUAUGUGAUCAGAAGAAGGUCACUUGUGAUGGAGAAGGCUUCUAUGAAGUCACCGAAGUCAAUCCUAAAGACCCCUGCUGCCCUCUUUUCACUUGCAAAUGCAAUACAAGCUUGUGCACAGCCAAAGCCCCCAAGUGCUCACUGGGAUUCGAAGUUCAUUCUCAUAUUCCCAGUGGUCAGUGCUGUCCUGUAUACCAAUGUGUUCCCAAGGGGGUUUGCGUACACGAGAAUGCUGAGUUCUUGCCCAACUCCUCAGUCUUUGUUGACAAGUGUCAGAAUUGUGUGUGCACAAACGAUGUUAACGUCAGCACUCAACUGAACAUCAUCUCCUGUCAACAUGUCCCCUGCAGCACAUACUGUGAACCAGUAAGUGGCAAGCUUAAAGAAACUAAAGACCCCAAAAUACCCAUAUAUUUUAUAAACUUUAAAAAUGAUCCUCACAACAACUGCACCAUUUAUAGCUGUGUGGAUGUCCACAACCAGCUUAUCGCUUCCACAUCUGAGAUUACCUGUCCAGCAUUCAAUGAGGAGAGCUGCAAACCUGGAACUAUUUCUUUCUUACCUAACGGUUGUUGCAAAACCUGUAAGUAUGCCAGUGUAUCUGAAUCAACAAUACCGAGAAUGAAUUUGCUGUACCUGAUUUCACCCUCUCCUAUAUGUUGGCUUCUGGCACAGAGUAACAUUGCCAUUUUGCAUGUUAACAGAUACUCUGCUGAGGCUAAUUCUAUGGACCACAGCUGCUCCUGCUGCAGAGAAACAAGGACCACUGAGAAGCAUGUGGUUCUGAAAUGCCCCGGUGGGCACUCAGUGUCACACAAGUACAUCUAUGUGGAGAGCUGCAGCUGUCAAGACACUGCAUGCAGCAGGCCCCAGUCCAAUGACCUGCAGAGCAACAAAGAAAAUGACAAGGCGAGCACUCUGAGCCGGGUCAAGAGAGCCAUCAGCUUAACAUCAAAAUGA